rnacentral:rRNA from 1 species
AGAAGCUAUUAAGAGCUUAUGGUGAAUGCCUUGGCGUCAAGUGCCGAUGAAGGACGUGGGACACUGCGAUAAGCCCCGGGAAGCCGUGUACAGGCGUUGAUCCGGGGAUUUCCGAAUAGGGAAACCAACUGUUGCGAACCAACAGUGUCUUCUUGUUGAACACAUAGACUUGAAGAUGGGAACCUGGGGAACUGAAACAUCUAAGUACCCAGAGGAAAAGAUAUUAUUCCCCCAGUAGUGGCGAGCGAACGGGGAACAGCCCAAACCGAAUCUGUUUACAGGUUCGGGGUUGUAGGACCGGCAAUACGGAAGUUACAAAACAAUCAGUUAGCGGAAAGGUGUGGGAAAGCCUGCCAAAGAGGGUAAUAGCCCCGUAUGCGAAAAUUGAUUGUCUUCCGCCGUGUUCCUGAGUACUGCCGGGCACGCUAAUCCGGCAGGAAUCUAGGGAGUCCACUCUCUAAGGCUAAAUACACUUGACGACCGAUAGUGAACUAGUACCGUGAGGGAAAGGUGAAAAGUCCCCCUGUUAGGGGAGUGAAAUAGAACCUGAAACCAUAAGCUUACAAGCAGUUGAAGGGCUACGGCAAGUUGAGCCCCCUAGAAAUAGGGACGUUCCUUGUCAUGCCUAACGGCGUGCCUCUUGGAGAAUGAGCCUGCGAGUUAAUUUCAGUGGCGAGGUUAAGGGAGUAACACCCGAAGCCGUAGCGAAAGCGAGUCUUAAUAGGGCGUACAGUCGCUGGAAUUAGGCCCGAAACCGUGUGAGCUACCCAUGGGCAGGGUGAAGCGAGUCUAAACACUCGUGGAGGCCCGAACUCACUAACGUUGCAAAGUUAGGAGAUGACCUGUGGGUAGAGGUGAUAUGCCAAUCGAACACGGAGAUAGCUGGUUCUCCCCGAAAUAGCUUUAGGGCUAGCGUCAUGCGUUUAGAACUGGAGGUACAGCACUGAAUGGGCUAUGGGGCUUACAGCUUACAGAACCCAAUCAAACUCGGAAUGCCAGUUCUCCAUAGCAUGGCAGUCGGACUCCGGGAGAUGAGUUUCGGGGUCGAAAGGGAAACAGCCCAGACCAUCGGCUAAGGUCCUCAAAUCUAUGCUAAGUGGGAAACGAGGUGAGGUUACUGAAACAACCAGGAGGUUGGCUUAGAAGCAGCCACCCUUUAAAAAGUGCGUAACAGCUUACUGGUCUAGUGACUUCGCGCGGAAAACUUAACGGGGCUAAGCAUAGUACCGAAGCCAUGGGUCUCAACAUUUGUUGGGGCAGUAGGGGAGCGUUCUGUCAGCGGUGAAGGUCGAUCGUAAGGGCGACUGGAGCGGACAGAAGUGAGAAUGCAGGCAUGAGUAGCGUACAAACACGUGAGAACCGUGUUCGCCGUAAGUCUAAGGUUUCCGACGCCAGGUCAUUCCGCGUCGGGUUAGUCGAGUCCUUAGCCGAGGCCGAGAGGCGUAGGCGAUGGACAUCCGGUCAACAUUCCGGAACCGCUAGAAAGUGCGAUGGGAGGACGCAACGAGGUAGGCCAGCCCAUUAUUGGAUUUGGGUGCGAUCCAUCUAGGUGUUGAGACUGGUAGGUAAAUCCGCCGGUUGAGCUGAGGUGAGAGCGAGCCGUAAGGCAUAAGUGGUUGAGCCUUGUUGCCAAGAAAAGUCUCUAAGCAUAACUUUCUAGUGCUCGUACCGCAAACCGACACUGGUAGAUGGGUAGAGUAUACCAAGGCGAACGGGAGAACCCUCGUUAAGGAAUUAGGCAACAUGACCCCGUAACUUCGGGAGAAGGGGUACCCUCCUUUGUGUUAAAGCUUCGGAGGGUCGCAGUGAAAUGGCUCUGGUGACUGGUUAACAAAACCACAGGUCUCUGCUAAGCCGUAAGGCGAUGUAUAGGGGCUGACGCGUGCCCAGUGCCGGAAGGUUAAAGGGAGAGGUUAGCGCAAGCGAAGCUUUGAACUGAAGCCCCGGUGAACGGCGGCCGUAACUAUAACGGUCCUAAGGUAGCGAAAUUCCUUGUCGGGUAAGUUCCGACC